GAUGAAGAACGUAGCGAAAUGCGAUAAGUAAUGUGAAUUGCAGAUUUCAGUGAAUCAUCGAAUAUUUGAACGCACCUUGCGCUCCUUGGUAUUCCGAGGAGCAUGCCUGUUUGAGUGUCAUUAAAUUCUCAACUCUCCAACUGUUGUCAUGACUGGUGGUAGAGCUUGGACGUGAGGGUUCUGCCGGCUCCUUGUUGAGUCUGGCUCCCUUGAAAAUGAUUAGCGCAGCUUUGCACUGUCCGCUUCAGGUGUGAUAAUUUAUCUACGCCCGACUAGCGACGCGCAUGAAUGGCUUUGUGCUUCUAACCGUCUCGAAAGAGACAAUACCUUUUGAACUUGACCUCAAAUCAGGUAGGACUACCCGCUGAACUUAAGCAUAUCAAUAGCGGAGGA
rnacentral:misc_RNA from 1 species